rnacentral:sRNA from 1 species
UAUCGAUGCCAUUGAAUUUAACUCUAUAGCCAAAACAAUGUGUCAUAAAAGAGUAAUGUUAUCCUGUUGUUAGAUACUACUGGCCGGGCCCUUCGUUCUCUCAUCCUCCCUUCAGAGAAGCUCACAUCUAAGAAACCUUUCUGGUGGAACAAAGAAGAAGCUGAAACUUAUAAAAUGUGUAAAGAAUUUUCACACAAAAACUGGCUGGUAUUCUACAAAGAAAAAGGGAACAGCCUGACUGUACUGGAUGUUCUAGAAGGGCGAACUCACACCAUCUCACUUCCCAUCAACCUCAAGACAGUUUUCCUUGUAGCAGAGGACAAAUGGCUUCUGGUGGAGAGCAAAACAAAUCAGAAAUAUCUUUUAACUAAGCCUGCACACAUCGAAUCUGAGGGUAGUGGAGUUUGCCAGUUGUAUGUGCUGAAAGAGGAGCCGCCCAGCACGGGGUUUGGAGCUACACAAGAAACAGAGUUCAGCAUACCUCAUAAAAUUUCCAGUGAUCAACUAUCAUCUGAACAUCUAAGUUCAGCUGUGGAACA